rnacentral:rRNA from 1 species
CCAAUCGAACUCGGAGAUAGCUGGUUCUCCCCGAAAUAGCUUUAGGGCUAGCGUUAUUUUAGAUUACCGGAGGUAAAGCACUGAAUGGUCUAGGGGCCGCGAGGUUACCAAAGCCUAUCAAACUCUGAAUGCCGGAUAAUUGAUGAAUAGCAGUCAGACUGUGUGAGAUAAGUCUCAUAGUCAAAAGGGAAACAGCCCAGAUCUACAGCUAAGGUCCCAAAUGAACACUAAGUGGAAAAUGAUGUGAAACUGCGAAGACAACCAGGAUGUUGGCUUAGAAGCAGCCACUCAUUCAAAGAGUGCGUAAUAGCUCACUGGUCGAGUGGUUUUGCGCAGAAAAUGUAACGGGGCUAAGUGUUCAACCGAAGCUUAGGCAUUGCAGUAAUGCAUUGGGUAGGGGAGCGUCGUAUGCGGGGUGAAGUCAGAGCGGAAGCACUGGUGGACUGCAUACGAGUGAGAAUGCCGGAAUAAGUAGCGAGAAUUAUGUGAGAAUCAUAAUGGCCGAAAAUCUAAGGUUUCUUGGGGAAGGUUCGUCCGCCCAAGGUUAGUCGGGAGCUAAGCUCAGGCCGAAAGGCGUAGGCGAUGCACAUACGGUAGAAAUUCCGUAACCACCGAACAUUUAAGCUAGAGGGACGCUUUCUUUAAGGUUAUCCCGGGCGAUGGUUGCCCCGGGCGUAAGGGACCGAAAUAUAGUAGGGAAGUAACUGGCGAGAGAGACGAGAAAAGCUCUGGUGUAUACUAAGGUGCCCGUACCGCAAACCGACACAGGUAGAUGGGAUGAGUAUUCUAAGGCCAACGGGAGAAGGGUUGUUAAGGAACUCGGCAAAUUGGCCCCGUAACUUCGGGAUAAGGGGCGCCUGCGAGAGCAGGCCGCAGUGAAAAGGCCCAAGCGACUGUUUAGCAAAAACACAGCUCUCUGCUAAAUCGAAAGAUGACGUAUAGGGGGUGACGCCUGCCCGGUGCUGGAAGGUUAAGGGGAGUGCUUAGCGCAAGCGAAGGUGCGAACUUAAGCCCCAGUAAACGGCGGCCGUAACUAUAACGGUCCUAAGGUAGCGAAAUUCCUUGUCAGGUAAGUUCUGACCCGCACGAAUGGCGUAACGAUUUGGGCACUGUCUCAACAGCCCGCCCGGCGAAAUUGUAGUACCGGUGAAGAUGCCGGUUUCCCGCAACUAGACGGAAAGACCCCAUGGAGCUUCACUGUAGCUUGAUAUUGGAUCUCGGUAUUCCAUGUACAGGAUAGGUGGGAGGCUAGGAAGCGAGCGCGCCAGCGUUCGUGGAGCCAACCUUGGGAUACCACUCUUGGGAUAUUGGGAUUCUAACCUGCGACCAUGAAUCUGGUCGGGGGACACUGUCAGGUGGGCAGUUUGACUGGGGCGGUCGCCUCCAAAAGAGUAACGGAGGCGCUCAAAGGUUCGUUCAGCACGGAUGGAAAUCGUGCACUGAGUGUAAACGCAUAAACGAGCCUAACUGCGAGAAUGACGGUUCGAGCAGUAACGAAAGUUGGAGUUAGUGAUCCGGCGGUAUGUGAAUGGAAAUGCC